UGGCGAACGGGUGAGUAACGCGUGGGUAACCUGCCUCAUACAGGGGGAUAACAGUUAGAAAUGACUGCUAAUACCGCAUAAGACCACAGCACCGCAUGGUGCAGGGGUAAAAACUCCGGUGGUAUGAGAUGGACCCGCGUCUGAUUAGGUAGUUGGUGGGGUAACGGCCUACCAAGCCGACGAUCAGUAGCCGACCUGAGAGGGUGACCGGCCACAUUGGGACUGAGACACGGCCCAA
rnacentral:rRNA from 1 species